AAUAUCACAUACAAGAUUGCGCUGUAAUGGACAAAGAAAUCAUGUUACUAAGGAAUCCCCGAUUUAGUUAUACAGUGACUGAUUUAGAAAGUGUAAAGAAUAGUGUAAAUUCUCACAUAUCUUGUAUAUUUGAUAAUAACAGUACGUUACGAUAGUGGUAUGGUGUAAUAAUCGGCAGUGUAGUUGUUACUGUGGCAAUCAUCAUCGCAGCUGUCAUAUGGAAUUGCAGAAACUCUGCAUCAAAUGCGGCAGGUCAUUCAGGUACUGGUGGAAUGGUGCUGACCGCACUGGCCCAGAUCUAUGGGCAAUCACCUGGAAAUAACAUGCCUACACAACCACCAAAAUAAAAUAUAGUUUUCGUGGUACCCGGCAAAGAUAAAUAAUAAACCGUUGAACCAAAGAGUGUCAUUUAUAUUUACAUAGACAUGUACAUCCAGCACACGAUAUGCCGAUUUUAAAAUAAAGUAAUCCAUUAAUACUUCAUUUAAGGUAUUAGAUCACUAAUAGAGAACCUCCUUUUUGAAGAGUAUUCAAUUCCGACCAUAAAAUAGAGAAAAGUGGAAACUUCACAGGUCGCUCAACACGACAGAAACGAAAAUGUUGCAGGCUCGGUUUGAUUGAGUCUGUUCGUGGAAAACCUAUUUUUACUGCAGUUCUUAGUGGGGUGUAGGUUCAAGCCCUACUGGGACCAAAAUUUUUUUCCUUAUUUUUUUUUCUAGUAAGUUUUUACUUCUUUCAAGACUUAUUAUUGAUUUCUUGUACAAAAAUGGAAAAAUAUUAAUCUUAUAAGCUAUUUCUUGGUAUUCAAAGUGAAUUUACUACUUAAGUUACACAUCAUUACGAAUAUUGAGUUACACGCGGUGAAAGUUCUCUAUUUUGCUUUCACUCUUAUAUUAUAUAUUGUGGAAGAAAUUUGGGUAGGUUUUACGUCUGCCAUAAGGUUAUUUUAAAAUGGAGUAAGCAAAAUGCAAAACAGAAACACAGCAUUCGACCUUAUUUUUUCAAUGUUGAAGUAUGAAAUUCUGUCUCAAUAAAUCCGUUUAUUUGAGGCACCAUAGAAAAAAAUGAUACUGACAUUUUUAUUUUGUGUUUAUUUUGUGUUUUAUGAUUGUUUACCAAUAGUUUGAUGUUUCUUUUAUUAAAAUUCAUGGUAAAAUGAGUUCUCUGCAAACGUUUUGGAUAGUUGCUAUCACUUUGAAAUUUGUCUCUACUUGAGCUUGAGGAGAUAUGGUAAGUUAUACAAAAUUUAUAAAAAAAACAAAAAACGGCACGUUAAAAGUUGUUUAGAAAUUGCAAAAUAGUGCAAAACACGGUUACCUUUCAGAAUAUACCAAGCAAAGGCCAUUUUGUAAACAUUACUAUUAGUGAUCUAAUACCUUAAACAGGAUUUAAUUCAGUAUUUAUGUACAUAUAUACAAACAAUCACAUACAAUCUAAGGAUUUGAAAACAAGCUUUCAAAGAAAGCUUCCUUGAAUUCUAUUUCCAAAGAUAUAUACGGUGUAAAAUGUAUGUUAACUCGUACUUGUAUUAACGUAGUGUUUUCAUUUAAUUUUUUAGCGCAGCCAUAUUCAUCCCGUUUUCAUGAACUAUAUUGUGAAGGUCAUUUUUUAAUACAACAUAUUUCUAUUCUUACAUGGCGAGGAGGAAAAACAAAUAUUUGGUAAAUUAGUGCUUUUACACGAAGAUGAAUUUGAAUUUUUUAGGUAACAUCUCUACAGGUCGCGAAAAAGUUAGUGUCCGGAAACGGGAGUUUACUCGUUUUCAUCACGAAAAGAAAGGAAUCGACGGGCUGAAAAUGUCACAUGAUGAAGCGCUUAGUAUAUGCAAUAUAUCCGCUCUACAUUUUCCUGAGAUUUCUCAAAGCUGGAUUUUUUUUUUACUUUUUUUUCGCGCUGGUAUCGACGCAAAUUUGCGGAAUUUUCAAACUUAUUGUCCCUUGUUUGCGAAUAAAAUGCAGUUUUCCCCAUUCUUUUUCAGUGUGGAUAGAGAGAACUUGAAAACAAGGGUAGUCUCUCCAGAAAUAGAAAAUGGAAACCGCAGUAAAGAGUAAACAAUCCGUUUACUACAGUUCAAACUAUUAGACGGAAGGUAAAACGGAAUGCUACACUUUUUGGUAGAACUAAAUCGUUUGUACCAGACCAUUGGGGCAUUAUCUUGUAAUUUUUAAGAUGGCCAUAACUUUUUCAUUUCUUUAUAGAUCCCUUUCAUAACCGACCUCAAAGUCAAGUUCUUUCAAGGAUAACACUUGCCAAAUGUAUACAUACCUUAUUUUCCUGCUACACUGCCUUUAUUUCUUAUUCAACAAAGAAAUGGGUAACCAUUUUUAUUAGCUCACCUGAACCUUAUUCAGGAUGAGCUGUUAGUAUAAGUGGAUGGUCCAACGUCCGUCGUCAUGCGUCGUCAGCAUUAUUACUUAUUCUAACACGACCAGCAAAUAACCUAUAUACACAUAGGAGAAAAUCAAUCAACGGUUAUUUUGCUUCAAAGUUUCAUGUUUUCAAGUUUAUUCAUAAGAACAUGACUCCUAACCGGAGUGUGUGAAUACAUGUUACACAAAUAUCAUAUACAAGACUGAGCAAUACAUACUUAUUACUAUGAAUGGCUAUAUCUAACUGGACUUACAUUCAUACCAAAAAUGUUUGGAAGCACAACUCCAGCAAUCUGCACCAUCCACAAGUACCAGUAUGGGGAGAAAUAAGAAAUAUUAAAUGGAAUGACUACGUGAUAAUUGCACCAAAGUCCUGUGGAUCAUCACAGAGCACUAGACUCGCAAUCCCAAAACCUUAUAAAAGUUAAAAUAUUGAGACAUCUAUACAGUACUAUAUUCAGAGAGAUCAAAAAUCAAGUGACUUAGCAUUUACAGACAAAUGUGUAAUAAGAAGGAAGACACUAUUGCAAUUUAGAUAGUACAACUUUUAACACGUGUAAAUGUUGAGUUCUGCUCAACCCGGGGCUAGAGGGCGUGGACGGUAGCAUGCAUUUCCACUACCGUCCAUAAACAGGCUCAAUCAAACCGAGCCUGCAACAUUUUCGUUUUUGUUGUGUUGAGCGACCUGUGGAGUUUCCACUUUUUCUAUUUUACAUAAUAUUGCUAACCUGAACAAUGUACUAACAUUUCCUGAAUUAAACAGUACUUUCACUUUA